UACGGAAGGGGCAAGCGUUGUUCGGAAUUAUCGGUGCGUAAAGCGCGCGUAGGCGGACCUGCAAGUCGGGGGUGAAAGCCCGAGGCUCAACCUCGGAACUGCCUUCGAUACUGCGGGUCUCGAGUCCGGGAGAGGUGAGUGGAAUUCCUAGUGUAGAGGUGAAAUUCGUAGAUAUUAGGAAGAACACCGGUGGCGAAGGCGGCAUCCUGGACCGGUAUUGACGCUGAGGCGCGAAAGCUAGGGUAGCAAACGGG
rnacentral:rRNA from 1 species